UCCCGGAUGUUAGCGGCGGACGGGUGAGUAACACGUGGGUAACCUGCCUGUAAGACUGGGAUAACUCCGGGAAACCGGAGCUAAUACCGGAUAGUUCCUUGAACCGCAUGGUUCAAGGAUGAAAGACGGUUUCGGCUGUCACUUACAGAUGGACCCGCGGCGCAUUAGCUAGUUGGUGGGGUAAUGGCUCACCAAGGCGACGAUGCGUAGCCGACCUGAGAGGGUGAUCGGCCACACUGGGACUGAGACACGGCCCAGACUCCUACGGGAGGCAGC
rnacentral:rRNA from 1 species